GUGAGGAAUAUUGGUCAAUGGGCGGAAGCCUGAACCAGCCAAGUAGCGUGCAGGAUGACGGCCCUAUGGGUUGUAAACUGCUUUUAUACGGGGAUAAAGUCAGCCACGUGUGGUUGAUUGCAGGUACCGUAUGAAUAAGGACCGGCUAAUUCCGUGCCAGCAGCCGCGGUAAUACGGAAGGUCCGGGCGUUAUCCGGAUUUAUUGGGUUUAAAGGGAGCGCAGGCCGGAAGCAAAGCGUGCCGUGAAAUGUAGAUGCUCAACAUCUGAAUUGCGGCGCGAACUGGUUUUCUUGAGUGCAUACGAGGUAGGCGGAAUUUGUGGUGUAGCGGUGAAAUGCUUAGAUAUCACGAAGAACUCCGAUUGCGAAGGCAGCCUACCAGGAUGUAACUGACGCUAAAGCUCGAAAGUGCGGGUAUCGAACAGGAUUAGAAACCCCAGUAGUCC
rnacentral:rRNA from 1 species